rnacentral:rRNA from 1 species
GACGUAGGGCGCGAGCGUUGUCCGGAUUUAUUGGGCGUAAAGCGCGCGCAGGCGGUCCUUUAAGUCUGAUGUGAAAGCCCACGGCUCAACCGUGGAGGGUCAUUGGAAACUGGGGGACUUGAGUGCAGGAGAGAAGAGUGGAAUUCCACGUGUAGCGGUGAAAUGCGUAGAGAUGUGGAGGAACACCAAUGGCGAAGGCAGCUCUCUGGGACGGUACUGACGCUGAGACGCGAAAGCGUGGGGAGCGAACAGG